AUACUUGGGGAAAGACCAUGAUGAUAAAGGUGGUAUUCCCAAGUAGGAGUUAGUCCUUACACCCCCAAUGUGCUGGCCCCUAUGGUUUCUCCAAAUAUGGGAAACUCAACUGCAUAUAUGUGUGUAUGCGUAUAUAUAUAUGUAUAUAUAUAUAUA
rnacentral:snRNA from 1 species